UGUGAUUCUCGGGUGACACACCCCAGAAUCGGGCUCUCUCCUGUCUGGUUCUGGUUGUGCCACCUGAGUGCUGCA
rfam:Myotis davidii contig54881, whole genome shotgun sequence.